GAUGAACGCUGGCGGCGUGCCUAACACAUGCAAGUCGAGCGAUUCUCUUCGGAGAAGAGCGGCGGACGGGUGAGUAACGCGUGGGUAACCUGCCCUGUACACACGGAUAACAUACCGAAAGGUAUGCUAAUACGAGAUGAUAUGCUUUUAUCGCAUGGUAGAAGUAUCAAAGCUCCGGCGGUACAGGAUGGACCCGCGUCUGAUUAGCUAGUUGGUAAGGUAACGGCUUACCAAGGCGACGAUCAGUAGCCGACCUGAGAGGGUGAUCGGCCACAUUGGAACUGAGACACGGUCCAAACUCCUACGGGAGGCAGCAGUGGGGAAUAUUGCACAAUGGGCGAAAGCCUGAUGCAGCAACGCCGCGUGAGCGAUGAAGGCCUUCGGGUCGUAAAGCUCUGUCCUCAAGGAAGAUAAUGACGGUACUUGAGGAGGAAGCCCCGGCUAACUACGUGCCAGCAGCCGCCGCAG
rnacentral:rRNA from 1 species